UACGUAGGGGGCAAGCGUUGUCCGGAUUUAUUGGGCGUAAAGAGCGUGUAGGCGGCCUGAAAGGUCAGCUGUGAAAACUCGAGGCUCAACCUCGAGACGUCGGUUGAAACCAUCUGGCUAGAGUCCGGAAGAGGAGAGUGGAAUUCCCGGUGUAGCGGUGAAAUGCGCAGAUAUCGGGGAAGAACACCCGUGGCGAAGGCGGCUCUCUGGGACGGUACUGACGCUGAGACGCGAAAAGCGUGGGGGAGCGAACAGG
rnacentral:rRNA from 1 species